AGCUUGCUGGAUUGAUGGCGAGUGGCGAACGGGUGAGUAAUACAUCGGAACGUGCCCUGUAGUGGGGGAUAACUAGUCGAAAGAUUAGCUAAUACCGCAUACGACCUGAGGGUGAAAGUGGGGGACCGCAAGGCCUCAUGCUAUAGGAGCGGCCGAUGUCUGAUUAGCUAGUUGGUGAGGUAAAGGCUCACCAAGGCGACGAUCAGUAGCUGGUCUGAGAGGACGAUCAGCCACACUGGGACUGAGACACGGCCCAGACUCCUACGGGAGGCAGCAGUGGGGAAUUUUGGACAAUGGGGGCAACCCUGAUCCAGCAAUGCCGCGUGUGUGAAGAAGGCCUUCGGGUUGUAAAGCACUUUUGUCCGGAAAGAAAUCGCACUUACUAAUAUUAGGUGUGGAUGACGGUACCGGAAGAAUAAGGACCGGCUAACUACGUGCCAGCAGCCGCGGUAAUACGUAGGGUCCAAGCGUUAAUCGGAAUUACUGGGCGUAAAGCGUGCGCAGGCGGUUGUGCAAGACCGAUGUGAAAUCCCCGGGCUUAACCAGGGAAUUGCAUUGGUGACUGCACGGCUAGAGUGUGUCAGAGGGGGGUAGAAUUCCACGUGUAGCAGUGAAAUGCGUAGAGAUGUGGAGGAAUACCGAUGGCGAAUGCAGCCCCCUGGGAUAACACUGACGCUCAUGCACGAAAGCGUGGGGAGCAAACAGGAUUAGAUACCCUGGUAGUCCACGCCCUAAACGAUGUCAACUAGUUGUUGGGGAUUCAUUUCCUUUAGUAACGUAGCUAACGCGUGAAGUUGACCGCCUGGGGAGUACGGUCGCAAGAUUAAAACUCAAAGGAAUUGACGGGGACCCGCACAAGCGGUGGAUGAUGUGGAUUAAUUCGAUGCAACGCGAAAAACCUUACCUACCCUUGACAUGCCACUAACGAAGCAGAGAUGCAUUAGGUGCUCGAAAGAGAAAGUGGACACAGGUGCUGCAUGGCUGUCGCCAGCUCGUGUCGUGAGAUGUUGGGUUAAGUCCCGCAACGAGCGCAACCCUUGUCUCUAGUUGCUACGAAAGGGCACUCUAGAGAGACUGCCGGUGACAAACCGGAGGAAGGUGGGGAUGACGUCAAGUCCUCAUGGCCCUUAUGGGUAGGGCUUCACACAUCAUACAAUGGUGCAUACAGAGGGUUGCCAAGCCGCGAGGUGGAGCUAAUCCCAGAAAAUGCAUCGUAGUCCGGAUCGUAGUCUGCAACUCGACUACGUGAAGCUGGAAUCGCUAGUAAUCGCGGAUCAGCAUGCCGCGGUGAAUACGUUCCCGGGUCUUGUACACACCGCCCGUCACACCAUGGGAGUGGGUUUUGCCAGAAGUAGUUAGCCUAACCGCAAGGGGGGCGAUUACCACGGCAGGGUUCAUGACUGGGGUGAAGUCGUAACAAGGUA
rnacentral:rRNA from 1 species